CACGUAGGGCGCAAGCGUUGUCCGGAAUUAUUGGGCGUAAAGAGCUCGUAGGCGGUCUGUCGCGUCUGCUGUGAAAACUCAGGGCUUAACCCUGAGCUUGCAGUGGGUACGGGCAGACUAGAGGUAGGUAGGGGAGAAUGGAAUUCCCGGUGUAGCGGUGAAAUGCGCAGAUAUCGGGAGGAACACCGGUGGCGAAGGCGGUUCUCUGGGCCUUACCUGACGCUGAGGAGCGAAAGCGUGGGGAGCGAACAGG
rnacentral:rRNA from 1 species